AUAAGCAGCAGGUUUCAGAAUUCGUAAUGAGAAUGGAACAUAUCUCAGUCUGCAGAGGCACUCAGCAGAAGCCGAACAUCUUUAUUGGAAUUGACCGAAACUUAGCAGCUCAUCCUGCUCCCCUUGCCAGUUAUCGAGUCGGGCUUCCGGGACAACAGCAAGCUAAUGGAAUAACAACCGAUAUUCAUAAACCAGGUGUUGAACUAUGGAACUUUAUACCACGCACAUCAUUCACCAAUGUAAGCAAAGCAACAAAAUAGGAAAGAGCAAGUGGAAAUAUACGGCAGCAUGCUAACCGUAAUGCAUUCCCGAUGCUUGCCAUCUGCGCGAAGGAUUUGCAAGAGUAGUAUAAUAGCGCAUAAUAUUGAAAUUUGAAAUCAUUCCGACGAUAGCGCUCGAAGAUUUUAUAUAGUAGACAUGAGGAGUGAUCUGUCGACAUUAUCCCAAGAGGUCCGUGAUAUUCCGAUCAGGAUUCAACAUGCAAGCAGAAAAUAAGAAACACCAGAUAAUCGUUUUAUUGGUCCGACUGGGAGGCCUAAACAAAACCUGCCACAAGAAAUUAAAAAAAAAACAAAAUAAAUUAAAAAAAAAUAAAUUAUAUUGUAUUUCUAUUGUAAUACUGCAGUGGUUUUUAUUCUAAAUCCUAUUGUACUUCCAUGGUAAAACAAUAAAAAAAGUAAUAGAAAACAUUUACAACACAUUGUUUUCUAUUGUUUCGUCCAUAGAAACCAUCCCAUAGAAGAACCGUAAAGUUAAUUGUUUUGCUCUGAAUUUUGUAUGGAAAAUUUUCGAAUUUUUUAUUGUAAAGAUACAUAACAACCCCUAUUUUAUAUUGUAAAAGUCCAAUUUACCAUUCAUUUUAUCGUGCAAAACCAUACGUUCUAAUGCAAUUUUAUUGUAACAUUUCCAUUACAUUCAGUGGUAAUUAUUAUGUAAUAAAUGGUGCUGUACCA